rnacentral:sRNA from 1 species
UCAGGCUGACCCAGCUGGAGGGAGAGCCUCAUUCUGACGACAUCAACGCCAACUUCAUCCCAGUUGUCCAGCAACAGCAGCGGAGGGUGGAGUAACUGCAAUUCACCACCUGACCCGACCACAGCAUCCUCAAGGCCCCCAGCUCCCUGCUUACCUUUAUGGAGCUGGUACAGGAACAGGCAAGGGCCACCCAGGGCAUGGGACCCAUCCUGGUGCCCUGCAGGAGGGCAGCUCCUCAGGGGCUGUCCCUGCAGUGUGGGCAUGGGCCAGACAGGCACCUUCGUGGCCCUGUUGAGGCUGCUGCAGCAGCUGGAGGAGGAGCAGAUGGUAGACGUGUUCCAUGCUGUGUAUGCAUUCUAGAUGCACGGGCCCCUCAUGAUCCAGACCCUGGCCCCCAUCGCUCCUCGCUGAGCAGCCUGAUGCCCUUCCCCCUGGCAGAGCCAGUACGUCUUCCUGCACAGCUGCCUACUGAACAAGAUUCUGGAAGGGCCCUUCAACAUCUCUGAGUCUUGGCCCAUCUCUGUGAUGAACUUCGCACAGGCGUGUGCCAAGAGGGCAGCCAAUGCCAACGCUGGCUUCUUGAAGGAGUACGAGCUCUUGCUGCAGGCCAUCAAGGACGAGACUGGCUCUUCCGCACCCCUGCCUGGCUAUGAGCAGGACAGCCCCUUCUCCUGGUGGGCCCUCUGGCUGUGAUCAUAUGGUGCUGACUGGCCUCGCACGGCCAGAGGAGCUCUGGGAGCUGGUGUGGCAGCACGGGGCUCAUGUGCUUGUCUCUCUGUGCCCACUCGAUGCCAUGGAGAAGGUCAGUUGCAGCAAGGGUGCGACCCAGCUGGGCACCUUCCUGGCCAUGGAGCAGCUGCUGCAGCAGGCAGGGUCUGAGUGCACCGUGGAAGUCUUUAACGUGGCCCUGCAGCAGUCUCAGGCCUGUGACCUUAUGACCCCAACGCUGAAGCAGUAUAUCUACCUCUACAAUUGUCUGAACAGCGCACUGGCAGACGGGCUGCCCCUGAGUCGGCACUGGUCACUGUGCAGGAGAGGUUUGUGCCCUGUAGGAUGGGGACAGCAUUCCUGACACAUCCGCGUGGGCCUGGGCUCCCCGGAAGGGCGGCCUCCACUGGGCCCUGUGCUGCGAAGGUAAAGGGUCUUGGAAUAAAGACCUGUGGCCAAG